rnacentral:rRNA from 1 species
AAUGAACGUUGGCGGCGUGGAUUAGGCAUGCAAGUCGCGCGAGAAGUUUCCUUCGGGAGACGGACAGCGGCGGAAGGGAGAGGAAUAAGUAGAAAUCUGCCCUCGGGACGGGGAUAGCGGCGGGAAACUGCCGGUAAUACCCGAUAACAUCUUUGGAUCAAAUGGUGUGAUUCCGCCUGAGGAUGAGUCUACUUCCUAUUAGCUAGUUGGUGUGGUAAUGGCUCACCAAGGCAACGAUGGGUAGCGGGUGUGAGAGCACGAUCCGCCUCACUGGGACUGAGACACUGCCCAGACACCUACGGGUGGCUGCAGUCGAGAAUCUUCGGCAAUGGGGGAAACCCUGACCGAGCGACGCCGCGUGCGGGAUGAAGGCCCUCGGGUUGUAAACCGCUGUCGUAAGGGAACAAAUCUAAGAGGGUACUCCCUUUUAGUUGAGUGAUCUUAGGAGGAAGACGGGCUAAGUUCGUG